rnacentral:rRNA from 1 species
GAUGAACGCUAGCUACAGGCUUAACACAUGCAAGUUGCGGGGCAGCAUGUCGGUUGCUUGCAACCGAUGAUGGCGACCGGCGCACGGGUGAGUAACGCGUAUCCAACCUACCCUUCACCACGGAAUAAUCCAGUGAAAAUUGGUCUAAUACCGUAUGAGGUCAUACGAUGGCAUCAGAAUAUGACGAAAGGUUUAGCGGUGAAGGAUGGGGAUGCGUCUGAUUAGCUUGUUGGUGGGGUAACGGCCUACCAAGGCGACGAUCAGUAGCCGACCUGAGAGGGUGACCGGCCACAUUGGGACUGAGACACGGCCCAAACUCCUACGGGAGGCAGCAGUGGGGAAUAUUGCACAAUGGGGGGAAACCCUGAUGCAGCAACGCCGCGUGAUUGAAGAAGUAUUUCGGUAUGUAAAGAUCUAUCAGCAAGGAAGAAAAUGACGGUACUUGACUAAGAAGCCCCGGCUAACUACGUG